CGCGGCCUAUCAGCUUGUUGGUGGGGUAGUGGCUUACCAAGGCUUUGACGGGUAGCCGGCCUGAGAGGGCGACCGGCCACACUGGGACUGAGACACGGCCCAGACUCCUACGGGAGGCAGCAGUGGGGAAUAUUGCACAAUGGGCGAAAGCCUGAUGCAGCGACGCCGCGUGAGGGAUGACGGCCUUCGGGUUGUAAACCUCUUUCAGCAGGGAAGAAGCUUUUGUGACGGUACCUGCAGAAGAAGCACCGGCUAACUACGUGCCAGCAGCCGCGGUAAUACGUAGGGUGCGAGCGUUGUCCGGAAUUAUUGGGCGUAAAGAGCUUGUAGGCGGUUUGUCGCGUCUGCUGUGAAAAUUCAGGGCUUAACCCUGGACGUGCAGUGGGUACGGGCAGACUAGAGUAUGGUAGGGGAGACUGGAAUUCCUGGCGUAGCGGUGGAAUGCGCAGAUAUCAGGAGGAACACCGAUGGCGAAGGCAGGUCUCUGGGCCAUUACUGACGCUGAGAAGCGAAAGCAUGGGGAGCGAACAGGAUUAGAUACCCUGGUAGUCCAUGCCGUAAACGUUGGGCGCUAGGCGUGGGUCUCAUUCCACGAGAUCCGUGUCGCAGCUAACGCAUUAAGCGCCCCGCCUGGGGAGUACGG
rnacentral:rRNA from 1 species